rnacentral:lncRNA from 1 species
ACUGCGUAUCGAUUGGACCCGGAAGUGUCAAUGUCACCGUCUCCAAUGUGCAAUGUGGCCCUGGCCAUGGAAUCAGGUAUAACAUAAUAAUUUACACGCAACCAAUAUCAACCAUUUCCAGAAACUGGAAAAUAAAAAUGUGCAAAUGUGACAGCAUAGGGAGCCUUGGGAAGUACCCUGAUGAAGAGGAUGUAAUAGGAAUCACUGUUUCGAACUGCACAAUCAAUGGUACUCAGAACGGGAUUCGAGUCAAGACAUGGCCAGGUUCGCCUGCGGGGAGUGCUUCGGGGAUAAUCUUCCAGAACAUUGUGAUGAUAAAUGUCUCUAACCCUGUGAUGAUCGAUCAGGAAUAUUGCCCGUCAAGAACCUGCAACAUUACCAAGGUGAAAAGAAAAUGAUGCCAAAAAUUCUUUUUAUUUCUAUUUGGUAAGCUUUUGUUUUACUUUGAGGCAUUUCGUCGAACAGCCUUCGCUCGUGAAGCUGCGGGACAUAGAUGUGAGGAACGUGACGGGAACGUAUAACAGUGAGGCACCGAUGCCGCCGGUGAGUCUGCUCUGCAGUAGCCA